AACGAACGCUGGCGGCAGGCUUAACACAUGCAAGUCGAGCGCCCCGCAAGGGGAGCGGCAGACGGGUGAGUAACACGUGGGGAUCUGCCCGAUGGUACGGAAUAACUCAGGGAAACUUGUGCUAAUACCGUAUGUGCCCGCAAGGGGAAAGAUUUAUCGCCAUCGGAUGAACCCGCGUCAGAUUAGCUAGUUGGUGUGGUAAAGGCGCACCAAGGCGACGAUCUGUAGCUGGUCUGAGAGGAUGAUCAGCCACACUGGGACUGAGACACGGCCCAGACUCCUACGGGAGGCAGCAGUGGGGAAUAUUGGACAAUGGGCGCAAGCCUGAUCCAGCCAUGCCGCGUGAGUGAUGAAGGCCUUAGGGUUGUAAAGCUCUUUCGCCGACGAAGAUAAUGACGGUAGUCGGAGAAGAAGCCCCGGCUAACUUCGUGCCAGCCGCCGCCGUAAUAC
rnacentral:rRNA from 1 species